AGUGAACGCUGGCGGCAGGCCUACACAUGCCAGUCGAGCGGCAGCGCGGGGGCAACCCUGGCGGCGAGCGGCGGACGGGUGAGGAAUUCGUCGGAAUCUGCCUUUUUGUGGGGGAUAACGUAGGGAAACUUACGCUAAUACCGCAUACGUCCUAAGGGAGAAAGUGGGGGGCCGCAAGGCCUCACGCAGAAAGAUGAGCCGACGACCGAUUAGCUAGUUGGUGGGGUAAAGGCCCACCAAGGCGACGAUCGGUAGCUGGUCUGAGAGGAUGAUCAGCCACACUGGGACUGAGACACGGCCCAGACUCCUACGGGAGGCAGCAGUGGGGAAUAUUGGACAAUGGGCGCAAGCCUGAUCCAGCCAUGCCGCGUGUGUGAAGAAGGCCUUCGGGUUGUAAAGCACUUUUGUCCGGAAAGAAAUCCCUGGAGCUAAUACCUUCGGGGGAUGACGGUACCGGAAGAAUAAGCACCGGCUAACUUCGUG
rnacentral:rRNA from 1 species